rnacentral:rRNA from 1 species
CCUACGGGGGGCUGCAGUGGGGAAUAUUGGACAAUGGGCGCAAGCCUGAUCCAGCAAUGCCGCGUGUGUGAAGAAGGCCUGCGGGUUGUAAAGCACUUUGAGUGGGGAAGAAGGCCUGGGGGUUAAUAGCUUCUGGGAUUGACGUUACCCACAGAACAAGCACCGGCUAACUCCGUGCCAGCAGCCGCGGUAAUACGGAGGGUGCGAGCGUUAAGUGGAAUUAGCGGGGGUAAAUCGAGCGUUGGGGGUUGAAAGCCCUGGGCUUAACCUGGGAACUGCAUUGGAUACUGUUUGACUGGAGUGUGGUAGAGGGGUGUGGAAUUUCCGGUGUAGCAGUGAAAUGCGUAGAGAUCGGAAGGAACACCAGUGGCGAAGGCGGCACCCUGGACCGACACUGACGCUGAGGUGCGAAAGCGUGGGGAGCAAACAGGAUUAGAUACCCGGGUAGUC